rnacentral:rRNA from 1 species
GACGAACGCUGGCGGCGUGCUUAACACAUGCAAGUCGAGCGGUAAGGCCCCUUUGGGGGUACACGAGCGGCGAACGGGUGAGUAACACGUGGGUGACCUGCCCUCAGCUCUGGGAUAAGCCUGGGAAACUGGGUCUAAUACCGGAUAUGACUCCAUGACGCAUGUUGUGGGGUGGAAAGCCUUGUGCGGCUGGGGAUGGGCCCGCGGCCUAUCAGCUUGUUGGUGGGGUGAUGGCCUACCAAGGCGACGACGGGUAGCCGGCCUGAGAGGGCGACCGGCCACACUGGGACUGAGACACGGCCCAGACUCCUACGGGAGGCAGCAGUGGGGAAUAUUGGACAAUGGGCGCAAGCCUGAUCCAGCCAUGCCGCGUGAGUGACGAAGGUCUUCGGAUUGUAAAACUCUUUUGGCGGGGACGAUAAUGACGGUACCCGCAGAAUAAGCCCCGGCUAACUUCGUGCCAGCAGCCGCGGUAAU